rnacentral:misc_RNA from 1 species
GUAGGUGAACCUGCGGAAGGAUCAUUAACACUUUACAUCCACGUGUCUAAACAUCCGUUUAGGCAUAAACCCCCUUCAUAGCGAACUAGUCGGGUGGUUAUCUCGCAAGGGAUUUCCAUUCCGUCAUUUUUUCUCCUUUUUCUCUUAUUAACCUUUUUAAACCCAAUUGAAACUUCUAGACUGAAACUUCUGUUGCAGAUCUGCGAAAGCUUUUCUUGCAUCGAAAAAACAAAAUUCUAAACAACUCUUAACAACGGAUAUCUUGGUUCUC